rnacentral:rRNA from 1 species
UACGUAGGGACCGAGCGUUGUCCGGAAUCAUUGGGCGUAAAGAGCGUGUAGGCGGCUUGCUAAGUCUUGCGUGAAAUCUCGGGGCUCAACCCCGAGCGGUCGUGGGAAACUGGCAGGCUAGAGUGCGGGAGAGGAGAAUGGAAUUCCUGGUGUAGCGGUGAAAUGCGCAGAUAUCAGGAAGAACACCCGGUGGCGAAGGCGGAUUCUCUGGAACGCAACUGACGCUGAGACGCGAAGGCGUGGGGAGCAAACGGG